GGGGCCUUGGCUCAGCUGGGAGAACGCAGCACUGGCAGUGUUGAAGUCAGCAGUUCGAUCCCGCUAGGCCUCGCCA
rnacentral:tRNA from 13 species